GAGUUUGAUCGUGGCUCAGGAUGAACGCUGGCGGCGUGCCUAACACAUGCAAGUCGAACGGAGUUUAUGAGGAAGAAGCUUCGGCGGAAUUCUUAUAAACUUAGUGGCGGACGGGUGAGUAACACGUGGAGAACCUGCCUCUUACCGGGGGACAGCAGUUGGAAACGACUGAUAAUACCGCAUAAGCGCACGAGACCGCAUGGUCCUGUGUGAAAAGAUUUAUCGGUAAGAGAUGGCUCCGCGUCUGAUUAGCCAGUUGGCGGGGUAACGGCCCGACCAAAGCGACGAUCAGUAGCCGGCCUGAGAGGGUGAACGGCCACAUUGGGACUGAGACACGGCCCAGACUCCUACGGGAGGCAGCAGUGGGGGAUAUUGCACAAUGGAGGAAACUCUGAUGCAGCGACGCCGCGUGAGUGAAGAAGUAUUUCGGUAUGUAAAGCUCUAUCAGCAGGAAGAAAGACUCGAAAGAGGGAUGACGGUACCUGAGUAAGAAGCCCGGCUAACUACGUGCCAGCACG
rnacentral:rRNA from 1 species